rnacentral:misc_RNA from 1 species
AGUCAGGGGAAGUAUCAGUUCCUGCAUCAAGAUAAAGGCAAAUUUUGUUAAAAACUACUGUUUCAUUGACUUCCAUGAGAAAAUGAAAUAAAACAAACAAAAUUUAUAAAUGCUAAUGGUAUCACUAGAACCACUGCUGCUGGGAUCCAAUGAAUUGCCCUGGAAUCUGGACACUAUCUUCUUCCAAUACUGGAAAUGCAGUCUACUAUCACAAAAUUAUAUUUCCUAAUGCUUGUCAUCUCUAAUUGUCUAUUGUCUUUUUUGUUUUCCUUUUUUUUUUGUUUUGUGUGUGUGUGUGAAGUGUCAACACAAACACAGACACAGAGGACAAUCGAAAAAAGUUGAUAGUUAAUGGGUUGGGACUUGGGACAAUAAAUUGGAGCAAGAGAAGCAGACUCUAAAACUCUUGUUGUCCAAAAUAAAUUCCCUCAAAAGAUUGACCAGUCUCAACUCUCAACAAUGACUAGAAUAGAAAGUAGACCAAAGUUCAAAUGUGUAAGAUUUUCUCAUCACAUCAUGAGUUGCUUCAUACUGCCCUCAACUCACAUGCAUUUACUCUUUACUGCUUUCUUUCACCCAGAAGGAAGCA